rnacentral:tRNA from 1 species
GGGUGUUUAGCGCAGUGGUAGCGCGUUCGCUUUGCAUGCGAAAGGCCAGGAGUUCGAUCCUCCUAACAUCCA